UUUACUAAUAUACUAUAAAUGAAGUUAGCAUAAAAUGGUUUUCCUAUUUUCUUAAUGACACAAAUGCUAAAGAUGGUUCGAAGAAGAUUUCACUAACAGAUAAUAAUCAUCCUUAUAAUGACAGAUUUAUAGCGUUGAAUUCAACAAGUUUGAAAAAAAGACGAAAGCGUAGUGGCUUAAUUUAAAUGAUUGAAUUAGGUACCCUAAGAAGUCCUAACGGUCUUGUCACAGAGCACCGCAGAAGUGCAUUUAACCAGGAAGUUCACGCCUCCUUUCUUACCAUGACGCGAAAUAUGUCCAAAGCUUGUUUUGAACCUGGAUCUCCUGCUUACAAAGCCUAUGAUCUAACCAUUGCGCCACGGCCGCACAAUAUUUGGCAUAACUUUUUUGUGAAUCAAGAAGCUCGUUUUGAUCAGUUUAGAAAAUUAAAAGGUUUAAAGAAAGAUAAGCGCUAGAAAAAGAAUGAGCUAAAACAAAAAGAAGUUACAUUAUAUUUUUAAAUAUAUUAGUUGAGGUUGAGAGUUUAUGUUCACUUAUUUUAGUUUAAAAGACAUCUUUGUCAGACACUUGUCUCAGAAAGCCAUAGCUAUUCAAAGGCGUCUAAAUUUUAUUACGCCUAAUACAGGUCUUUAAACGUCUUUAAAAAACGCUGAGAAGAGAAAUGUUUUUUUUUUAAUAUUGUUACUCUCUAGAAGUUACUGGUAUAUCUGUUACUUCAAUAAAGUUUUUAUUCUAUUUAUAAAAUAUUUUAUUUUUUCUUCAAACCUAAUAUUUGUUUAACUUUCUACAGGUAAUACUAAUAUGAAAACAAUUUUUAUUGUUUUUUGAUUUAUACUCGGGUAAAAUAUUCGUUUUCUUAUUUUAAUUUAUUGUUAAAAAAUAUAUUUUUUCAUUAUUUUAUUUUAUGGUUAUUUUCAAGAGAAGGCAGAGACACCAACAAAAAGCUUUGAAGUUAAUAAUAGUGAAGAGGAGGCAGAUAAUUAUAAAAAUCUUUGCAUCUAAAGACAGUGAAGAAUCGAGUCAAAGUACUGUAGCCAGCUGGGCUACGCUCACUGGAUGAAUUGCAAAUUAAAACUGAUUUAAUACAAAGACGGCAUAAGUUUGCUGAAAGUUAUACAAAUGGAGAAGUAUUGGUGCGUUUCUUUCCACAUGUAGAAGUUAAUGCAUAUAGAAAGAGAGAUAAAGGAGGUCAGAAAAGUUGGCAGAAUAGUUUGUGUCGCAUUUGUGGAAGCGAAAUUGGUCAAAAAACUAGAAAAAAUCAAAAAAAAGUUAAAUGGAUCAAAUGUGAUAUUUGCAUCCAAAUUGAUGGUAUCGUAUAAGAUGCAUUGUUUUUAAAAAUGAAACUUUAUUUUGUUGUGAACAUAUUUAUAUAUAAAUGUAAUAAUAA
rnacentral:lncRNA from 1 species